GAGUGUGUGUCUGGUUGUUCAAACACAGGGGGCGACACAAGGGAUCCCACAAACCCUAGUUCUUCCAAAAAUCCACCAAAUUGAGAGCUCAAAUUCGUUCUAAAUCAAGUCUCAAACACAAAUUCGUGAUCUCCAUUGAAAGGGGAGUCAUAAGUUUGACUCUUGACGAGCUAGGUGAAGCUUGGAGGAGAUGAUCAAACGGGAUAAAGGCACGAGUAAGACUUGCUUGGAUGAAAGGAACGAAUAGAAAUUUGGAUAAUUGCGUCAUCAUAGAAUAUUGAACUAAUAAUAGCAAGGCAUAAACGGGUCUAUACGUUGACUCGAGCCAGGUACGCUUAUAUAUAGAUUUAUAGUUAAAAGUGCUUAACUUCCCUUCACGGGUCAAAAGGAGUAGAUAGGUAAAACGGGUUAAGAAUUCAUAAGAAACCCGUAAUUUGAACCUUGCACAUUAGUAAAUUGAUAUAACGUGAUAUGCAUGAUAUUUUGAAAAGGUAAUAAACAAGUUUGUUUGAUAAAUCACGAACGGGUCAAAAAAAGUGUCAUAAUUGAAUUUCAAGCCGAGAGCUUGAAAGUUAAAAUUUUGUGAAUUUAGAUGUUGGAUUU
rnacentral:lncRNA from 1 species